rnacentral:rRNA from 1 species
AUAUGAAAGGAAAGCGGCGGACGGGUGAGUAACGCGUGAGUAACCUGCCUAUCAGAGGGGGACAACAUUUCGAAAGGGAUGCUAAUACCGCAUGAUAUCUAAGUACCGCAUGGUAUUUAGAUCAAAGAUUUAUCGCUGAUAGAUGGACUCGCGUCUGAUUAGCUAGUUGGUGAGGUAACGGCUCACCAAGGCGACGAUCAGUAGCCGAACUGAGAGGUUGAUCGGCCACAUUGGGACUGAGACACGGCCCAGACUCC